CGAGUCCGAGUCUCCACGGAGACGAAGUGGCGGUCAUCCAGCUUCCUAGAAAAGCUCUAACCACGUUAAUCUUUAGUUGCCUGUACCCGAAACCGACACAGGUAGGGGGGUAGAGAAUACCAAGGGGCGCGAGAUAACUCUCUCUAAGGAACUCGGCAAAAUGACCCCGUAACUUCGGGAGAAGGGGUACCACUGAGAAGUGGUCGCAGUGAAGAGGCCCAGGCGACUGUUUACCAAAAACACAGGUCUCCGCCAAGUCGCAAGACGAAGUAUGGGGGCUGACGCCCCCAGUGCCGGAAGGUUAAGGAAGUGGGUUAGGGAUUCGUCCCGAAGCUGACGACUGAAGCCCCGGUGAACGGCGGCCGUAACUAUAACGGUCCUAAGGUAGCGAAAUUCCUUGUCGGGUAAGUUCCGACCCGCACGAAAGGCGUAACGAUCUGGGCGCUGUCUCGGAGAGAGGCUCGGCGAAAUAGGAUUGUCUGUGAAGAUACGGACUACCUGCACCUGGACAGAAAGACCCUAUGAAGCUUUACUGUAGCUUGGAAUUGGGUUCGGGCUUGGUUUGCGCAGGAUAGGUGGGAGGCGAAGAAGAUUUGCUUGUGGGUGAAUCUGAGCCAACGGUGAGAUACCACUCUAACCAGGCUAGAAUUCUAACUUCAACCCGUCAACCGGGGGAAGGACAGUUUCAGGUGGGCAGUUUGACUGGGGCGGUCGCCUCCUAAAAGAUAACGGAGGCGCACAAAGGUUCCCUCAGGCUGGUUGGAAAUCAGCCAACGAGUGCAAAGGCAGAAGGGAGCUUGACUGCGAGACCUACAAGUCAAGCAGGGUGGAAACACGGUCUUAGUGAUCCGACGGCACCGAGUGGAAGGGCCGUCGCUCAACGGAUAAAAGUUACUCUAAGGAUAAUAGGCUGAUCUCCCCCAAGAGUUCACAUCGACGGGGAGGUUUGGCACCUCGAUGUCGGCUCAUCGCAACCUGGGGCGGAAGUACGUCCCAAGGGUUGGGCUGUUCGCCCAUUAAAGCGGUACGUGAGCUGGGUUCAGAACGUCGUGAGACAGUUCGGUCCAUAUCCGGUGUAGGCGCAAGAACAUUGAGAGGAGUCUUCCUUAGUACGAGAGGACCGGGAAGAACGCACCGCUGGUGUACCUGUUAUCGUGCCAACGGUAAACGCAGGGUAGCCAAGUGCGGAGUGGAUAACCGCUGAAAGCAUCUAAGUGGGAAGCCCACCUCAAGAUGAGUGUUCUCAUGGAGUAAUCCAGUAAGGUCACGGGAAGACGACCCGUUGAUAGGCGGUAGGUGGAAGUUCAGCAAUGGAUGAAGCCGAGCCGUACUAACAGACCGAGGGCUUG
rnacentral:rRNA from 1 species